UAGUACGGAAUUAUCUCACAUU
rnacentral:miRNA from 1 species